rnacentral:rRNA from 1 species
GGGUUGGCCAGGCGGUCCAUCGCAAGAUGCGUACUGCUUUGGUUGGCUCUAAACUUCUGGGGAACGGUACUCGCCGCUUCAUUGUGGCGGUCCGGGAGCCAGACUAUUACCUUGAAAAAAUCAGAGUGUUCAAAGCAAGCUUACGCUUGAAUGUUACAGCAUGGAAUAAUGAAAUAGGACUAUGGUCUUAUUUUGUUGGUUUCUAAGACCACAGUA